AGGCUGAUGUGAGGACUGAUUUCAUGGUGUUGGAAUUAAGAACUGGCGAUCUUAUACUGCUAACGUAUUGGUUAGCAUCACAGAUUGUCCUUUUGCAUACUAUCCGGAGUAGAAUUUGGAUCUUUUUGAGGUGCCCUUGUGUGGUCAAUCCAAUGGACAAUAACAAUCAUGCAGACUGGAUAUAUAUUGCUUUUUGUAUAAUAAAAUCUUUAAAUGAUAAUUCUGAAAGCCAAAUGAUUCAUUUUUUUAUGCUGUUACUUUUUCCAUUUACUGUAAGUUAACAAUUUUUUGUUUUUAAUGCUGUUAUUCGUUUGGCUCAAAUGAAGUAUACAGAUAUUUAGUUCCAGAUUUUGAUAUAUGUAUUCCUAUGCAAAUAAAAACUUGUAUUAUAGUUAUAAAAAUAGUUGAUUAAUACUUAUCAUUUUAUAAUUAUUAUUUGAUGAAAUGGAAAAUUAUAAUUGUAAUGGUUGACAAUUUGAAAGAAUAAAAUAGUCUUUUAUGAUUGACUGGUAGACAGAUCAACAGGUUGACAAGUCAACAGUAUGCCUAUAUUAAGGAAACUCACUUGUCAUGUUUUGGAACUUUGGUAAGAAAGCAACCAUUUGAUUUUGUUUUGGGGGGGCUAUGGGUUUUUUUGGAAAAAAAAGUUUGUUUCCAGUUUUUGGAGAGAAAAAAAUAAUUUGUUUUUGAUUCUAAAAAAAAUAGAUUGUUUGUUUCACCCUAAGCUGCCACUAUAUGUAAUGCUAAACUUAAAAUAAAAAAAUUGUUUUCGACUUGUCAUGGAAAAAAAAGAAUGUUUUUCGCCGCAGGCAAAAAAAAAAAUUUGUCCAGAAAGAAAAAAAACAUAGCC